rnacentral:rRNA from 1 species
AUUGAACGCUGGCGGCAGGCCUAACACAUGCAAGUCGAGCGGAUGAAGGGAGCUUGCUCCUGGAUUCAGCGGCGGACGGGUGAGUAAUGCCUAGGAAUCUGCCUGGUAGUGGGGGAUAACGUCCGGAAACGGGCGCUAAUACCGCAUACGUCCUGAGGGAGAAAGUGGGGGAUCUUCGGACCUCACGCUAUCAGAUGAGCCUAGGUCGGAUUAGCUAGUUGGUGGGGUAAAGGCCUACCAAGGCGACGAUCCGUAACUGGUCUGAGAGGGUGAUCAGUCACACUGGAACUGAGACACGGUCCAGACGCCUACGGGAGGCAGCAGUGGGGAAUAUUGGACAAUGGGCGAAAGCCUGAUCCAGCCAUGCCGCGUGUGUGAAGAAGGUCUUCGGAUUGUAAAGCACUUUAAGUUGGGAGGAAGGGCAGUAAGUUAAUACCUUGCUGUUUUGACGUUACCAACAGAAUAAGCACCGGCUAACUUCGUG